rnacentral:rRNA from 1 species
AAUAUUGCACAAUGGGGGAAACCCUGAUGCAGCGACGCCGCGUGAGCGAAGAAGGCCUUCUGUUCGUAAAGCUCUGUCCUAAGGAAAGAGACGGACGGUACCUUAGCAGGAAGCCCCGUCUAACUACGUUCCAGCAGCCGCGGUAAUACGGAGGGGGCGAGCGUUAGCCGGAAUUAUUGGGCGUAAAGGUUGCGUAGGCGGCUUUUUAAGUCAGAUGUGAAAGGCUACGGCGUAACCGUAGUUAGCAUUUGAAACUAAAAGGCUUGAGUGCAAGAGAGGAGAGUGGAAUUCCUAGUGUAGCGGUGAAAUGCGUAGAUAUUAGGAGGAAAACCAGUGGCGAAGGCGACUCUCUGGACUGCAACUGACGCUGAGGCACGAAAGCGUGGGGAGCGAAC